rnacentral:rRNA from 1 species
AGUCAUAUGCUUGUCUCAAAGAUUAAGCCAUGCAUGUCUCAGUACAAGCCAAAUUAAGGUGAAACCGCGAAAGGCUCAUUAAAUCAGUUAUGGUUCCUUAGAUCGUACACACAAUUACUUGGAUAACUGUGGUAAUUCUAGAGCUAAUACAUGCUAACAGAGCUCUGACCGGAGACGGAAAGAGUGCUUUUAUUAGAUCAAAACCAAUCGGUGGCGGGCUCGCUCGUCAUCGUACCAUUUGGUGACUCUGAAUAACUUUUGCUGAUCGCACGGUCUCGUACCGGCGACGCAUCUUUCAAAUGUCUGCCUUAUCAACUGUCGAUGGUAGGUUCUGCGCCUACCAUGGUUGUAACGGGUAACGGGGAAUCAGGGUUCGAUUCCGGAGAGGGAGCCUGAGAAACGGCUACCACAUCCAAGGAAGGCAGCAGGCGCGCAAAUUACCCACUCCCGGCACGGGGAGGUAGUGACGAAAAAUAACGAUACGGGACUCAUCCGAGGCCCCGUAAUCGGAAUGAGUACACUCUAAACCCUUUAACAAGGAACAAUUGGAGGGCAAGUCUGGUGCCAGCAGCCGCGGUAAUUCCAGCUCCAAUAGCGUAU